rnacentral:rRNA from 1 species
AGGAUGAACGCUAGCGGCAGGCUUAAUACAUGCAAGUCGAGGGGCAGCGGGUGUAGCAAUACAUGCCGGCGACCGGCGCACGGGUGCGUAACGCGUAUGCAACCUACCUUUUACCGGAGGAUAGCCCCGAGAAAUCGGGAUUAAUACUCCAUAAUAUUAUAGAGAGGCAUCUUUUUAUAAUUAAAGCUCAGGCGGUAUUAGAUGGGCAUGCGUGACAUUAGCUAGUUGGUGAGGUGACGGCUCACCAAGGCUACGAUGUCUAGGGGUUCUGAGAGGAUUAUCCCCCACACUGGUACUGAGACACGGACCAGACUCCUACGGGAGGCAGCAGUAAGGAAUAUUGGGCAAUGGACGCAAGUCUGACCCAGCCAUGCCGCGUGAAGGAUGACGGCCCUAUGGGUUGUAAACUUCUUUUGUACGGGAAAAAACCCCUGGUCGUGUACCGGGGCUGAUGGUACCGUAAGAAUAAGCAUCGGCUAACUCCGUGCCAGCAGCCGCGGUAAUACGGAGGAUGCAAGCGUUAUCCGGAUUCAUUGGGUUUAAAGGGUGCGUAGGCGGGAUAAUAAGUCAGUGGUGAAAUCCUGCAGCUUAACUGCAGAACUGCCAUUGAUACUGUUAACCUUGAGUACAUUUGAAGUGGGCGGAAUGUGUCAUGUAGCGGUGAAAUGCUUAGAUAUGACACAGAACUCCGAUAGCGAAGGCAGCUCACUAAACUGUAACUGACGCUGAGGCACGAAAGCGUGGGGAUCAAACAGGAUUAGAUACCCUGGUAGUCCACGCCGUAAACUAUGAUCACUCGAUGUGUGCGAUAUACUGUACGCGUCUGAGCGAAAGCAUUAAGUGAUCCACCUGGGG